CUUUGUACAAAUCAGUGUCAUAUAAGAUGAAAGAUGACUUUCAGUGUAAAUAUAUACAUUGUUAUUUUAUAUAAUGUUAUUUUAAUGUUGCCUAAAUUUCCCAUAACUUUUGGAGCUUUGAUUGUGACUUCUGUGGCUGCUGGUGAAGUCACAACCACCAAUCUAAACCCAGGUUCUAACCUGGCUGAGACGCCAGGAGACUCCCCCACACCUGCUCCAGAGCAAUCACCUGAGACAGGGAACUGUGACCCUGUAUGUACUCUGCCUGCUGUGCCUGCGGCUGCCAUCAACCAUGCUGCCUGGCACAAGGUGUCAGAACUGGAUUAUGUAUGAGGAGUCAGAUAAGAACUUACACCUGGACAGUGCUUUGACAUUUACCAACUAAUUUCCCACUGUACAUUAACACAAGGAAUUUCACAAUCACCCUGGAGAAUGGUGUCACAGACAGAUGGAUGCACUGAGCCCUGAAAAGAAGUGAAAAUAAUUAAACCCAGGUCUCAGGUACACACCCCCAGGUGAGAAAUGACAGGCUUAGAAAUUAGUUCCAGAACUAUGCUAUUUUUUUCAGACUUUGGACUUUCCAAUUCAGCAAUCCCUCCUCAAAACUAGCUUUUUAUUUUCUUCAUUCUCCAUGUAUUUUUAAACAUAAUCUCAAUAGUGGAAAAGAGUUUCAAUAAAUUUAAAAUUCUUGUGUCUCCUAACUCACACCUUCGUGUUUUAUCAGGAAGUACAUGCAAAUUUUUAUGUCAUUAUAGUAUGGAUCUGUUAUUUUUUUAUUCUGCUUUUAGCAUCUCAUAAUACAUGCAUAUCACCAAAAGAUGUUCAAGCUUACAGAAU
rnacentral:lncRNA from 1 species